GUCCCUUUGAGUACAUCUGAUAAAAUUAGAAUGAUACAGAGAAGAGUAACAUGAAUACUGUGCAAGGAUGAAAUGCAUAAAUCGAGAAAAUGGGAUUACAAAC